CUUGACAUCCCAUUGAUCGGAGCUUAAUCGUUCCUUUCCUUCGGGACAAUGGAGACAGGUGGUGCAUGGUUGUCGUCAGCUCGUGUCGUGAGAUGUUGGGUUAAGUCCCGCAACGAGCGCAACCCUUAUCUUUAGUAGCCAGCACGUAAUGGUGGGGACUCUAGAGAGACUGCCGGGGACAACUCGGAGGAAGGUGGGGAUGACGUCAAAUCAUCAUGCCCCUUAUGACCUGGGCUACACACGUGCUACAAUGGCGGUUACAAAGGGAAGCUAAGGAGUGAUCUGGAGCAAACCCCAAAAAAACCGUCCCAGUUCGGAUUGUAGUCUGCAACUCGACUACAUGAAGUUGGAAUCGCUAGUAAUCGCGGAUCAGAAUGUCGCGGUGAAUACGUUCCCGGGCCUUGUACACACCGCCCGUCACACCAUGGAAGUCGGAGGCGCCCGAAGCCGGUGACCAAACCGUAAGGAUGGAGCCGUCGAAGGUGAAAUCGAUGACUAGGGUGAAGUCGUAACAAGGUAGCA
rnacentral:rRNA from 1 species